UAUUUAUUAGAUAACAGACCAAUAUUCCUCGUGUCUAUUGUGGUGACUCAUAGUAACUGAUCGGAUCGCAUGGCCUUGUGCCACGACUAACCAUUCAAGUUUCUGACCCAUCAGCUUUCGAUGGUAGUGUAUUGGACUACCAUGGCUUUCACGGGUAACGGAGGAUUAGGGUUCGAUUCCGGAGAGGGAGCCUGAGAAACGGCUACCACAUCUAAGGAAGGCAGCAGGCGCGUAAAUUACCCAAUCCUGACUCAGGGAGGUAGUGACAAGAAAUAACGGGUCGGGGCAUUCGCCUCGGGAUUGCAAUGAAUCGAAUUUACACCCCUUAAUGAGGAUCAAUUGGAGGGCAAGUCUGGUGCCAGCAGCCGCGGUAAUUCCAGCUCCAAUAGCGUAUAUUAAAGUUGUCGCAGUUAAAAAGCUCGUAGUUUGAUUUCUGGACGGGCGCCAACACCCGCUUGUUUAGUGUGGAGGCGGCGCCCGCCCAUCCUUCUGUUAACGCCACCGGCAUUCGUUUUGCUGGCGGCGGGCUCAGAUAUUUUACCUUUGAGAAAAUUAGAGUGUUUCAGGCAGGCUUUG
rnacentral:rRNA from 1 species